AAAUAUGAAAGAGUUGCUUCUCUACUUGAUGAGGAGAGGAAGAGUAUGCUACUUCUAGUUGAUGAGAAGGUCAAGCCUAUGUUGUUUCAAGUUGGCAAAUGGAUAUGCAAACUGAAGUAUGACAAUGUGCAAAGGCUACUUGAACAAGUUUUGAUGCGGAUGAGAAACAAGUUUUAUUGGGACCCUUGCAUUUUAUCAUAUGUAAAUGUAUUUUAGUGACAAUAUUUGUAGAGUUCAUUAUUUACUUGAGCUGAAAAUAGUUGUACAUUAACGUGAUUUUGUAACAUUUGAAUGAAAUAAUUUAUGUGUCUUGGUUUA